GGAUGAGACUAUGGCUCAAUGGUAGGGCAUUUGCUUUGCAAUACAGAUUGUCCCAGGUUCAAUCUCUGGCAAAUUCA
rnacentral:tRNA from 1 species